rnacentral:rRNA from 1 species
UCGGGAAUUUUGGGCAAUGGGCGAAAGCCUGACCCAGCAACGCCGCGUGAAGGAUGAAAUCCCUCGGGAUGUAAACUUCGCAAGAACGGGAAGAAUAAGUAAGAGUUAAUAUCUCUUACGAUGACGGUACUGUUUGUAAGCUCCGGCUAACUCCGUGCCAGCAGCCGCGGUAAUACGGGGGGAGCAAGCGUUGUUCGGAUUUACUGGGCGUAAAGGGCGCGUAGGCGGCCUCUGCAAGUCGACUGUGAAAUCUCCGGGCUUAACCCGGAAAGGUCAGCCGAUACUGCAGGGCUAGAGUGCAGAAGGGGCAACUGGAAUUCUCGGUGUAGCGGUGAAAUGCGUAGAUAUCGAGAGGAACACCUGCGGCGAAGGCGGGUUGCUGGGCUGACACUGACGCUGAUGCGCGAAAGCUAGGGGAGCGAACGGGAUUAGAUACCCUGGUAGUCCUAGCCGUAAACGUUGGACGCUAGGUGUGGGCGGUAUCGACCCCGUCCGUGCCGAAGCUAACGC